rnacentral:lncRNA from 1 species
UGCUUGUUGUAUGGUCAAAUUGUAUAUUUGGAAUAGUCCAGUUAGUUUGAGAUCGUUGUUUUGUAAUUGAAAAUUUUUUUGUUGGUUUUUAUAACUUUAAUUGGUUUUUUUUUUAAUUGAUAGUUUUGUUAUAAUUGUAAUAUACAAAUCAAAUCCUUCGGUCACGUUUCAGACCCGGAAUAUGGCACACAUUUACAGUCCUGUUAAACUAUGCCCAUCAAGCCCGAAACGAAGUAGGCAUGAAAUACAAUGGGAUAAGUGUGUUAUAUGUCAGGGUUCUUCUACUGAAUUGCUUAUUAAUAAGCGAGGAAUAAGAACAAACAAAA